GGUUUAGCGCGCUACCAUGCAGUCGAGCGAGAUCUUCGGAUCUAGCGGCGGACGGGUGAGUAACGCGUGGGAACGUACCCUCUUCUGCGGGAUAGCCACUGGAAACGGUGAGUAAUACCGCAUACGCCCUUCGGGGGAAAGAUUUAUCGGAGGAGGAUCGGCCCGCGUUGGAUUAGGUAGUUGGUGGGGUAAUGGCCUACCAAGCCUACGAUCCAUAGCUGGUUUUAGAGGAUGAUCAGCCACACUGGGACUGAGACACGGCCCAGACUCCUACGGGAGGCAGCAGUGGGGAAUCUUAGACAAUGGGCGCAAGCCUGAUCUAGCCAUGCCGCGUGAGUGACGAAGGCCUUAGGGUCGUAAAGCUCUUUCGCCUGUGAUGAUAAUGACAGUAGCAGGUAAAGAAACCCCGGCUAACUCCGUGCCAGCAGCCGCGGUAAUACGGAGGGGGUUAGCGUUGUUCGGAAUUACUGGGCGUAAAGCGCACGUAGGCGGAUUGGAAAGUAUGGGGUGAAAUCCCAGGGCUCAACCCUGGAACGGCCUCAUAAACUUCCAGUCUGGAGUUCGAGAGAGGUGAGUGGAAUUCCGAGUGUAGAGGUGAAAUUCGUAGAUAUUCGGAGGAACACCAGUGGCGAAGGCGGCUCACUGGCUCGAUACUGACGCUGAGGUGCGAAAGUGUGGGGAGCAAACAGGAUUAGAUACCCUGGU
rnacentral:rRNA from 1 species